rnacentral:misc_RNA from 1 species
UCGGGAUCGAUCUCUCGCGUCGUUUCAUCACCGCCGCGCAAACGCUCCAGCAGACCGGCGAGCUCCCCUACGAGC